rnacentral:rRNA from 1 species
UACGUAGGGUGCAGGCGUUAAUCGGAAUUACUGGGCGUAAAGCGUGCGCAGGCGGUUUCUUAAGUCAGAUGUGAAAUCCCCGGGCUUAACCUGGGAACUGCGUUUGAAACUACAAGGCUAGAGUGUGGCAGAGGGGGGUGGAAUUCCACGUGUAGCAGUGAAAUGCGUAGAGAUGUGGAGGAACACCGACGGCGAAGGCAGCCCCCUGGGUUAACACUGACGCUCAGGCACGAAAGCGUGGGGAGCAAACAGG